AAUAGAUGACGCCGUUGACUUUUUCUCGUAUGUUUGACCAUUCGUCUUAUUCAAAAUUUUUAUACAAUAUGAGUUGUUUUAUCAUUCGUAGUACUUUAAGUGUGAUUUAUAUUUUAUACAUUUGUAUAAAAAUUUUGAAUAAGACGAAUGGUCAAACAUGUGAGAAAAAGUCAAUGACGUCAUCUAUU
rfam:Oryza barthii chromosome 2, whole genome shotgun sequence.